rnacentral:lncRNA from 1 species
UAUCGUAGUUCGUCUAAAAAAGUGUUGUGUGUUUGUUGAUUUUAGUUUUUUGAAAAGAUCUUAACGCAUCAGGACAGAGAAAAGGGUUUGAUAAAAAUGUCUCAAUUCACAAGGGUAGAGAAAAUGACAUUUGGAUUUGUUUGAGUUGAUUUAAGAGGAUUUUAAAUAUUGAUUGAUAAGGCGUAACGUCAGCCAACCAACUUGGUUUGAAAAAGACUUUUUAAUUUUAAUUUAGAAAAUAAUAGGAUAUAGAUACAUAACUGUUUUGCAUUUUCG